rnacentral:rRNA from 1 species
UACGGGGGGGGGGCAAGCGUUUGUUCGGAAUUACUGGGCGUAAAGGGCGCGUAGGCGGCCGCCUAAGUCAGACGUGAAAUCCCUCGGCUCAACCGGGGAACUGCGUCUGAUACUGGGUGGCUUGAAUCCGGGAGAGGGAUGCGGAAUUCCCGGUGUAGCGGUGAAAUGCGCAGAUAUCGGGAGGAACACCAAUGGCGAAGGCAGCUUGCUGGGACGGUACUGACGCUGAGGCGCGAAAGCGUGGGGAGCAACAGG